UACGAAGGGGGCUAGCGUUGCUCGGAAUCACUGGGCGUAAAGGGUGCGUAGGCGGGUCUUUAAGUCAGGGGGGAAAUCCUGGAGCUCAACUCCAGAACUGCCUUUGAUACUGAAGAUCUUGAGUUUGGGAGAGGUGAGUGGAACUGCGAGUGUAGAGGUGAAAUUCGUAGAUAUUCGCAAGAACACCAGUGGCGAAGGCGGCUCACUGGCCCGAUACUGACGCUGAUGCACGAAAGCGUGGGGAGCAAACAGG
rnacentral:rRNA from 1 species